CUACGGGCGGCUGCAGUGGGGAAUAUUGGACAAUGGACCAAAAGUCUGAUCCAGCAAUUCUGUGUGCACGAUGACGGUUUUCGGAUUGUAAAGUGCUUUCAACAGGGAAGAAGUUCUGACGGUACCUGUAGAAGAAGCGACGGCUAAAUACGUGCCAGCAGCCGCGGUAAUACGUAUGUCGCAAGCGUUAUCCGGAUUUAUUGGGCAUAAAGGGCAUCUAGGAGGCUUAGUAAGUCUGAUGUGAAAAUGCGGGGCUCAACUCCGUAUUGCGUUGGAAACUACUAGGCUAGAGUAUUGGAGAGGUAGGCGGAACUACAUGUGUAGAGGUGAAAUUCGUAGAUAUAUGUAGGAAUGCCGAUGACGAAGGUAGCUUACUGGACAAUUACUGACGCUGAAGUGCGAAAGCUAGGGGAGCAAACAGGAUUAGAUACCCCCGUAGUC
rnacentral:rRNA from 1 species